ACCCGACUCGGAUCUUGAGUCAAUCAAUCGCGGAUAGUCCGCGCACUGUCUAGCUCGAGGUGAAGGAACUCUCACAUGCACCUCAGCUGGCAACAGCUCACCGUACUCCUGUCCUAGCCGUCUGGCGGCGAACGAAUCGCACCUCACCCAACAACGGCCUAGGUCCAUGACUUAGCCACCCGGCGGCGAAAUCGUCGCACACACGCCACGACAGUGGUUCAGUCAACAGGCGGUAGGAUCCACAAACUGGCUAACCAUCCGGCGGCGAAAUCGUCGCACACACGCCACGACAAUGGUUCUCUAGCCCCUGGACGGCGAAAUCGUCGCACACACCCCACACCACUCACGGUGUAUCAUCAAGCUUUGGGAUUCCGAAAUCCAUAUCACAUUUACUAAGGGUUGGUCUCAACCCUAUGGAACUGACCUCUCUAGGUCUAAGCCUUUACUCAACCUAAAUUAACCCAUUAGGUUUAUUGCUUUCACAUUCUUAACCUAGGUUUAUUACACUAGGAUCAUUAUUCUUUCCAACCUAGGUUCACUUGACUCCAGGUUACGCACCUUUCAUUUCACGACCUAUGUUCUUUACAUUAGGUUUAACAUCAUUCUUAUUUAACCUAUGUUCACCGACACUAGGUUCAAUAUCACAUUUGUUUAACCUAUGUCCCCGACACUAGGUUCAAUGCCACUCAAUCUAUAGGUUUAUUCAUGUCCACCUAUAUAUAUUCCUUACUUAGCAUUCUCAACAUGUACUUACAUGUACUGUUUCGUAUCAUGCUUAUCAACUAUACUUUAGCAUAGCAUCAUUUACUUUAAUCAUUCUAGGGUUAUCAACCUAGUUUUCAUGCACAUUUAAUCUCACAAUGUCAACAUGCAUUCUAUCCAUUAUGCUCACAUACAUUUAUGUAAUUAUGUAGCAUUAUAUAACUUGUUCAUCAUGCAUUCU
rnacentral:lncRNA from 1 species